UACAGAGGGUGCAAGCGUUGUCCGGAAUUAUUGGGCGUAAAGAGCACGUAGGCGGUUUGUUAAGUUUGGGCUUAAAGACUGGGGCUCAACCCCAGGAGUGGCUCGAAAACUGACAGACUAGAGGAUGGCAGAGGAAAGUGGAAUUCCCAGUGUAGCGGUGAAAUGCGUAGAUAUUGGGAGGAACACCAGUGGCGAAAGCGACUUUCUGGGCCAUUCCUGACGCUGAGGUUCGAAAGCUCGGGGAGCAAACAGG
rnacentral:rRNA from 1 species